rnacentral:tRNA from 1 species
UCUAAAGUGGCAGACUGUAAUGCAGUGGAUUUAAGCUCCACAUAUAAGAGUUCAAUUCUCUUUUUUAGAA